rnacentral:lncRNA from 1 species
UGACUAUUAAAAAGGACUAAAACCUUCAAUUUAAACCAGCCAAACAAAGAGAAUACCAAAUAAUUAUGAGAUCCCAAAAAUCCUAACAUAAAUCCUAGAAAAAAAAAAUCCAACUUAAGAACAAUCAUCGGAUCUAGAUUGAACACCAACCCUAGAUAUCGGAAGGGAAUACCUAAGCUUUGGACCAGCAGAAUCUCAUGAUUCCUUCGAGUUUAUCGUUGUCGUGAUGUCACGCAUCACAAUAGCUAAAGAUGGAGGCCAGGUCCUGACCGGUGCUCCCAUGAGGGGAGACUAGGGAGGAGCAGCGUCUAAGGGAGGAGGUUGAGG